UACGGGGGGGGCAAGCGUUGUUCGGAAUUACUGGGCGUAAAGGGCCUGUAGGCGGCCAACUAAGUCCGACGUGAAAUCCCAAGGCUUAACCUUGGAACUGCGUCGGAUACUGGAUGGCUUGAAUUCGGGAGAGGGAUGCAGAAUUCCAGGUGUAGCGGUGAAAUGCGUAGAUAUCUGGAGGAAUACCGGUGGCGAAGGCGGCAUCCUGGACCGGCAUUGACGCUGAGUGAGCGAAAGCUAGGGGAGCAAACGGG
rnacentral:rRNA from 1 species